rnacentral:rRNA from 1 species
UAGCUAAUCCUGGUCGGACAUCAGGAGGUUAGUGCAAUGGCAUAAGCUAGCUUGACUGCGAGCGUGACGGCGCGAGCAGGUGCGAAAGCAGGUCAUAGUGAUCCGGUGGUUCUGAAUGGAAGGGCCAUCGCUCAACGGAUAAAAGGUACUCCGGGGAUAACAGGCUGAUACCGCCCAAGAGUUCAUAUCGACGGCGGUGUUUGGCACCUCGAUGUCGGCUCAUCACAUCCUGGGGCUGAAGUAGGUCCCAAGGGUAUGGCUGUUCGCCAUUUAAAGUGGUACGCGAGCUGGGUUUAGAACGUCGUGAGACAGUUCGGUCCCUAUCUGCCGUGGGCGCUGGAGAAUUGAGGGGGGCUGCUCCUAGUACGAGAGGACCGGAGUGGACGCAUCACUGGUGUUCGGGUUGUCAUGCCAAUGGCACUGCCCGGUAGCUAAAUGCGGAAGAGAUAAGUGCUG